rnacentral:rRNA from 1 species
AUUGAACGCUGGCGGCAGGCCUAACACAUGCAAGUCGAACGAGUGGCGGACGGGUGAGUAAUGUCUGGGAAACUGCCUGAUGGAGGGGGAUAACUACUGGAAACGGUAGCUAAUACCGCAUACCAUCAGAUGUGCCCAGAUGGGAGUAGCUAGUUGGUGGGGUAACGGCUCACCAAGGCGACGAUGCCUAGCUGGUCUGAGAGGAUGACGAGCCACACUGGAACUGAGACACGGUCCAGACGCCUAAGAGAGGCAGGAGUGGGGAAAAUGGGAAAAUGGGCGCAAGCGUGAGGCAGCCAUGCCGCGGGUAUGAAGAAGGGCUUCGGGGUGUAAAGGACUUUCAGCGGGGAGGAGUUACCCGGAGAAGAAGCACCGGCUAACUCCGUGCCAGCAGCCGCGGUAAUUC